AACCCCUGGAAUUACAUUAGAUAUUGAAAAUUGUUGAGACCGAAAGAAAUAAGUGGAACAGCGAGGUAGAAGUAAAAAUUAUAAAAUUGACAAGAACAACAAUGAAAGAGAACAGAGGGUUUCCAAUUCAGAGCUGAGGCGAGAAAGCGGGAGGAACAAACAAGAUUAAAACAAUGGUAGUCCGCACCGUAAACGAAGGAAGGUAGGUGUGGCCGGCUUGGCGGUCAGUAGCGAAGAUAACACUAUAAGCAUCCAACAUGAGGAGUAGGGACACAAGAAGAAAAUCAAAGGAAUUGACGAGGGCCCGCGCAAGCGAUGGAGCAUGUGGUUUAAUUUUAAGCAACGCGCAGAACCUUACCAGCCUUUGACAUGGCAGGACGGCUUCCACAGAUGGAUUCCUUCCCUUUGGGGACCUGCACACAGGUGCUGCAUGGCUGUCGUCAGCUCGUGUCGUGAGAAGUUGGGUUAAGUCAAGCAACGAGCGCAACCCUCGCCAUUAGUUGCCAUCAUUCAGUUGGGCACUCUAAGGGGACUGCCGGUGAUAAGCCGCGAGGAAGGUGGGGAUGACGUCAAGUCCUCAUGGCCCUUACAGGCUGGGCUACACACGUGCUACAAUGGCGGUGACAAUGGGCAGUGAAAGGGCGACCUGGAGCUAAUCCCAAAAAGCCGUCUCAGUUCAGAUUGCACUCUGUCCUCGAGUGCCGAAGCCGGUCUCGCUAGUAAUCCCGAUCCGCACGCCGCGGUGAAUCCGUCCCGGG
rnacentral:rRNA from 1 species